rnacentral:sRNA from 1 species
UUACACAUUUUCUAUCUCUUUACUGGAGACAGGCUCUCAUUAUAGAGUUCAGGCUGGCCUGGAACUUCUGGUAGUCUUACUGCCGUAGUUUUCUGAAUGCUGGGAGUACAGAAAUAUGUUACCACACACUUUACUAUUUAUUUAGUUUGUUUUUGUUUUUGUUUUGUUUGAAAUAGGGCCUGAAAACACGCAGGUGUCAACUGACUGACAUUAAGUACUUUCUCUGCUUUAAAUAAAGUAAGUACACACAUGCAACAUUUAUCCCAAACCUAGAAAUCUCAGUGAUGAGGGCUAAAGUUGGCCAGUUUAAACCACAUCAUGAGACAGAAUCGAACAAAAACUACACACACACACACACACACACACACACACACACACACACACACUCUCUCUCUCUCUCUCUCUCUCUCUCUCUCUCUCUCUCUCAUAUAACAUAUAUGCUCGAGAACAAAUGGAGUUUGGGUUUUUUGUUUUGAGACAGGGUUUCUCACUCUGUAUUGUCUGCCUCUCCCUCCUAAGUGCUGGGAUCAAAGGGAUGAGACACCACCACCUGGCUUACAAACUAAGUUUACUCUAAUUAAAUAAUCACAUGUACCUCUUUUAUAUUAAUAUUUCAACAGCCACUAAUUUUUAUUUUUAUUUUGUUACUGUUUUAAACUAAGAAUAUUUAAUUAUUUCCCUCAACAAACCACACUUAGAUACUGUCGUAUCUUCAUUUUAGGGUCAGAUACAGCUUUUUUUCCCCUUAAAUUAACCUUGAACCUCUGAGGAUGACCUCGAACUUUGGAUUUUCCAGCUCCUACCUUCUUUGUGUUAGGUCACAGCUAUGUGCUGCUGUUCUGUGGUAAUGCAGGUGAAGCCGGGCUUGUGCAUGCUGGACAAGGGCUUUACUAAGCAGAUUAUAGCUGAGCCCAAAGCAUAGCCUUUGGUUGUUGCUUGUUUGGCCGCUGUUUUAUUUAGUAGACCAGGCUGGCCUGGAACUGAGAGAUGCACCUCGUUCUGCUUCCCGGGUGCCGAGAUUAAAGGUGCACAGCGAGUCACAAGAUUUUUUAGACAGGCUGAAAUUGUAAAUGUCAGCCUUAGGCUCCUGAGCCUCCCUCACCCACCUUCUGGACUGCUGGAAUUACAGCCCUGGCUGUCCUGGAAUUUACUCUGUAGACCAGGCUGGCCACGACCUCAGAGCUCUCCCUCAUCUACCUUCCUCGGGUUGGGAUCAAGGCACGUGCUACCACCACCCACUGAGUUUGAACUCUGAAUUCUUAUACCGCCAUCUCCAAAUGAAGGAAUGACAAAGGAACUGAAGAGAGCGACUGGUCACGGCACACUGGGGAAACCACUGGGCCACUGGCUAAGCUUACCCAGUCUGUGGUAAACGGAGCCCCAUUUGCCAUCAGUGUCCUCACUUCAUCGUCUUGGCCUUUCCUUGCAGCUUCUAGCAGCCUCUUCCCCAAGUCCACCAGAGACAUCUUUAUGCAUAGAGACAGAAGUUUCCAGAUGCUCAUACCCAGUGAAAUAUGUUUCCAAGAUGCUUUUGGGCUGGAGAGAUGGCUCAGCAGUUAAGAGUACUGACUGGGGGCUGGAGAGAUGGCUCAGUGGUUAAGAGC